GACGAACCGUGCGAACGUUGUUCGGAAUCACUGGGCUUAAAGGGCGCGUAGGCGGGUGACCAAGUCAGGGGUGAAAUCUUUCGGCCCAACCGGAAAAGUGCCUCUGAUACUGGUCGUCUUAGAGGGAGGUAGGGGUCGAGGGAACUGGUGGUGAGCGGUGAAAUGCGUAGAUAUCCGGAGGAUACCAAAGGCGAAGGCAGUGUCCUGGGGAGUGUCUGACGCUCAGGCGCGAAAGCUAGGGGAGCGAACAGG
rnacentral:rRNA from 1 species